AUUGAACGCUGGCGGCAGGCCUAACACAUGCAAGUCGAACGAGUGGCGGACGGGUGAGUAAUGUCUGGGAAACUGCCUGAUGGAGGGGGAUAACUACUGGAAACGGUAGCUAAUACCGCAUACCCUCAGAUGUGCCCAGAUGGGGUUAGAUGGGUGGUGGGGUAACGGCUCACCAAGGCGACGAUCCCUAGCUGGUCUGAGAGGAUGACCAGCCACACGGGAACUGAGACACGGCCCAGACGCCUACGGGAGGCAGCAGUGGGGAAUAUUGCACAAUGGACGCAAGCCUGAUGCAGCCAUGCCGCGUGGAUGAAGAGGGCCGUCGGGUUGUAAAGUACUUUCGGCGGGGAAGCGGUACCCUCAGAAUAAGCACCGGCUAACUCCGUGCCAGCAGCCGCGGUAAUAC
rnacentral:rRNA from 1 species